rnacentral:misc_RNA from 1 species
UUUCCGUAGGUGAACCUGCGGAAGGAUCAUUACAGAGUUCAUGCCCUCACGGGUAGAUCUCCCACCCUUGAAUAUUUAUACCUUAGUUGCUUUGGCAGGCCGUGGAAACACCAUGGGCUCCGGCUUAUGCGUGCCUGCCAGAGGGAGCAAACCCUGUUUUUAGUGAUGUCUGAGUACUAUAUAAUAGUUAAAACUUUCAACAACGGAUCUCUUGGUUCUG